GAUAAACGCUGGCGGCGCACAUAAGACAUGCAAGUCGAACGGAAGUCGUUAUUAAACAGAUUGAAGAUUUAUCUGAUUGAAGUUUGAUAACAAUGGCUUUAGUGGCGGACUGGUGAGUAACGCGUAAGCAAUCUACCUAUUAGAGGGGAAUAACAAUGAGAAAUCAUUGCUAAUACCGCAUAUGCCAUAUGAACCACAUGGUUCGAGUGGGGAAAGGAGCAAUCCGCUAAUAGAUGAGCUUGCGUCUGAUUAGUUAGUUGGUGGGGUAACGGCCUACCAAGACGACGAUCAGUAGCCGGGACUGAGAGGUUGAACGGCCACAUUGGGACUGAGAUACGGCCCCAGACUCCUACGGGAGGCAGCAGUCGGGAAUAUUGCGCAAUGGAGGAAACUCUGACGCAGUGACGCCGCGUAUAGGAGAAGGUUUUCGGAUUGAAACUAUUGUCGUUAGGGAAGAAAAAGACAGUACCUAAGGAGGAGU
rnacentral:rRNA from 1 species